rnacentral:pre_miRNA from 1 species
GGCUUGUUUUCAGUUGCCUGCGGCUUAUUGGGAGGACUCAGGCAGCUAAAGCAAGUCUG